AGGAAAAUCCGUCGACUUUAAAAUCGUGAGGGUUCAAGUCCCUCUAUCC
rnacentral:tRNA from 1 species